AUAACUCUAUGCGUAACAUAGUGGAAAUAACUCUCCACCUUCAACCAAGAGGUUGGAGGCAAGGUGAAAAAAGAGCCGACUCUUUGGGGGUGGGGGAGGCUGAGGUUUACCAUGUCAUUCCCAGCUUGCAUUCUUAAGUGCCUUAGUUUAUUGUCUUAAACACCUUUUAUAGUAUUAUUAUCAGCACAGAACAAGCGUUCCAAUUUCACAUCUUACAUUCCUUGCCCUUUUCCUGAGAAAUCACCAAUGCAAGACCCUUUUAAGUAACUAUAUUCCCUGCUCUGGCAACGGGAGUUCUUCACAAUGCAUAUCAACGUCCCACUAAUUUCUUUUCUUUUUCGGAAAAUAAUAAAAAUCAGAUAAGCUCAAAAUUCCGUUAACAUUAGACAUGGUUUUCGAUCUUACUUUUUGAUGUCGUACCAUCACAUUGACGCAUGUUAUACUAUUUGUCCUGCUAAUUCUCUUCAAGUUAAAUAAUAUAUGUUUUUGGACAAGCAUUCUUAGAAAUAUUACACAGCAACGCAUCAUGUAUUUUAUCUUGUGCACAAUUAUUUGUUUCAUGAAUAUAUGGACUGUUUACCAGAUAUAGUUGGUCCCAAGUCUAAUUGAUUGUCAUUUAUAGCAGAUUCUUUCAACUUCUGUUGAUAUAAUAGUGUAGAUCAUUUGUAGGUGGAAGUUCUUAGCCAGUUACAUCACCCACACAUUACUUUAUUGCUUGGAGCCUGUCCUGAAAAUGGCUGCCUUGUUUAUGAGUAUAUGGAGAACGGGAGCCUGGAAGAUUGCAUUUUAGAACGGAACAGCAAACCGUUUCCCUGGUUUUCUCGAUUCAGGAUACUUUUUGAAGUGGCAUGCGCUCUUGCAUUCCUGCACUACUCAAAGCCUGAGCCAAUUGUUCAUCGAGAUCUGAAACCAGGAAAUAUAUUGUUGGACAAAAAUUUUGUGAGCAAAAUAGGAGAUGUAGGUCUAGCAAAGAUUAUAUCAGAUGUUGUCCCGGAAAGUAUUACAGAAUACAGGAACUCUGUUCUCGCUGGCACCCUUGGUUACAUGGAUCCAGAGUAUCAAAGAACUGGCACACUCAGACCAAAGUCUGAUCUUUAUGCUUUUGGAAUAAUAACACUUCAAUUACUGGCUGCGUGUCGUCCUAAUGGCCUUAUAAUGAUGUUUGAAAAUGCUAUAAAUAGUAAUUCAUUGGUGGAUAUACUUGAUAAGUCAGUUCCCGACUGGCCAUUAAUUGAAGCAGAGGAGCUUGCUCGGAUGGCGCUAAAAUGCUGUAACCUUAGAUGCCGGGAUAGACCAGACCUCGAGACUGAAGUUCUUCCACUUUUGAAGAGACUUUCUGCAUUUGCUGACAUGCAUACCAAGGUGGAGAAGAACCUUAUACAGGCACCUAGUCCGUACUUAUGCCCGAUCGUUCAGGUGAGAACUGGAAAUUCCAGAGGAUGACCUAAGUCAUUUCUACUGUGUGCAUGUAUCUCAUUCUGCUUUCUGCUCUUGUAUGGUGCAACAUCUUUGCAGGAAGUAAUGGAAGAUCCACAGAUUGCAGCUGAUGGUUUUACAUAUGAGCAUAGAGCAAUAAAGUUAUGGCUCACAAGACAUAGUGUAUCACCAGUGACAAAGCAGAUACUGCAGCACAAGCUGGUCACACCAAAUCGCACAUUGCGACUUGCUAUACAAGAGUGGCGAUCACAAUUAACAUCGUUCUGAACCAAAUCUUGAAACAGAGUAGAAAAGUGCAUGAUAUCAAGCCAAAAGAAGAGCUGCAAAAACGAAAAAGGAAAAAGAAAAUAUUGUUAAUAGGGUCUUUUUUAUUCACAAGUGACUUUAGAACAAAGUCAAGUGUUUUAUGUUAAUAUACAUCAUACAUUAUCAACUGUAGUCUUUUUAAGUAUUGUAUAGCUCCUAAUGGUAGGGAAAACCUAAAUGUAAAGAAAAUGAAACAUAAUUCUGUGAAUGAGAUAAUACAUUCUGAUUGCUUUCUUCCAGUGGAAGAGUCUGAACUAUAUCCUUGCUUUCAACAAGGAGUUGCUGAAAGUUAUAUGUAGCUAAAAAGAAAUUUUCAGCAUACUGUGUUCUUCUUUUGGAAGCAAGGGAAAAUUUUAGUCUUGGGGACGCAUUGACAAUUUGAAAUUGCCAUACUAAUUGAUCUUGCAGUACUAGAUUGUUGAAGAAAGUGAAUAUGAAUUUGAUAUUAAUCAAAGGAGGUUAUUGGGUGGGUCCAAAUUUGGACAACCACGAUCGGUGAUGAAUACGACCAACGAUGAGAUCCUCGUAGCUCAACGACCUGUGGAAGACAACAGACAAGCGAACAGAGACUGCACGACUAUUACAGUAGUGUCGGUCCGGUAGGGAGUAUUAGGAAUAUUCUUUCAAAUAUUUCCCAUAGUAUGUAUUUUAGUGUUCAGAAGGGAUUAGUCCUUUAUAUAUAGCCCGAGGGGCCGGAGACUGGCUGUAAUACUUUUCUUUAAAAAAAAACAAUUUUAGCAUCUGUAACAUUCCUUCAUUCGUCUUGACAAGAUCAAUGAAUAUUAUCCACUAUAUUCACCUUAUAUAUCUUUUAUUCUAGAUUAUUAUACUUAUCUAAGAUUUACCCUAUUAUUUUCUUUGAUUUAUUUAUUCAAAAAGGUUAUAAUAUAUUUUGGUUCAAACAAUUUGGCACCGUCUGUGGGGAUUUCUAUAGCUGGGAUUUUAGUUUCCUCUAAAUCCUUGAAAGAGAUAAUUGCCUCUUCUUAGCCUCGCAAAGGCCAACAAUGGCAGGAAAGGAAGCAAGAUUAAAGGCAAUAGUAGGUGUCACGAACAACCUUCUGGAUUCCAUCAACGAAUCCGGUACGGAAGACAAUGAAAACGCAAUGCCAAGUGCUACGCCUGAGGGAGAUAUCUCACCCCCCUCCNNNNNGCACGAAAGCGUGACUGUCUCACGCGAGAGGGAAACCUCAACGUCCGCAGCAGGAAAAGCUCCACCGGCUAUGAAAAGGCUAUUAGAGGAAUGGUUGACAAACACCCUGAGCAACAUACUUGACAAGCCCGCCCAAAGGAAUAUAGGAGGCUGAAUAUACACAGAAACCGCAACUGUCGCCGAUGAGCCAGAAACUCCAUGCACAGGUAACACUCGCUAAAAUGCUGUAACCUUAGAUGCCGGGAUAGACCAGACCUCGAGACUGAAGUUCUUCCACUUUUGAAGAGACUUUCUGCAUUUGCUGACAUGCAUACCAAGGUGGAGAAGAACCUU
rnacentral:lncRNA from 1 species